rnacentral:rRNA from 1 species
GACGAACGCUGGCGGCGUGCUUAACACAUGCAAGUCGAGCGGUAAGGCCCUUCGGGUACGACGAGCGGCGAACGGGUGAGUAACACGUGGGUGACCUGCCCUCAGCUCUGGGAGUAAGCCCGGGAAACCUGGGUCUAAUACCGGAUAUGACCUUCUGUCGCAUGACGGUUGGUGGAAAGUUCUUCGGCUGGGGAGUGGGCCCGCGGCCUAUCAGCUUGUUGGU